AGGGACUGUCGCUCAGUGGUAGAGUAUCCGCUUUGUGUGUUGAAGGUCCCAGAUUCUAUUCCUGACAUCUUUA
rnacentral:tRNA from 1 species